UUAUAAUAGUCUUUUCUUCUUCUUUUCCAUGUGACCCGCUUGAAGGCUGCUGGAUGGAAAACAAAAACAAAUCAUUUGCUGGGAAUGUGUUAACUGAUAUACUGGGGACUUGUAGUAACCUGAAUUGGAGAGGUUGUUAAACUGGAAGGAUUUCUUCUGAGCGCUCCUGUCUUUGGGCAAAUAUUUAUUCAUAAAUUGUUUCAGAAGGUUGAGAAGUGUUCCUUUGUGUUGACUGGUGAAGUAAAUCGGGAUUUGAAGAGAGAAAAAAAAUUGUUUGAGUGAACCUGAAGUGAAUCCGAUUUACCUCA